AGAAAUUUAGGUUAACUAGUAAUAAACCAAAGGCCUUCAAAGCCUUAAACGGGGCCCAAGACCCAAUUUCUG
rnacentral:tRNA from 1 species